rnacentral:rRNA from 1 species
UGAGCAAUCUGCCCUUCUCUUUGGAAUAAGCGUUGGAAACGACGUCUAAUGCCGAAUACGACCUCCUUUCGCAUGAUCGGAGGUGGAAAGCUCCGGCGGAGAAGGAUGAGCUCGCGGCCUAUUAGCUAGUUGGUGUGGGUAAUGGCCCACCAAGGCGACGACGGGUAGCCGGCCUGAGAGGGUGACCGGCCACACUGGGACUGAGACACGGCCCAGACUCCUACGGGAGCAGCAGG